rnacentral:rRNA from 1 species
AUUGAACGCUGGCGGAAUGCUUUACACAUGCAAGUCGAACGGCAGCACGGGGCAACCUGGUGGCGAGUGGCGAACGGGUGAGUAAUACAUCGGAACGUGCCCAAUCGUGGGGGAUAACGUAGCGAAAGUUACGCUAAUACCGCAUACGAUCUACGGAUGAAAGCGGGGGAUCGCAAGACCUCGCGCGAAUGGAGCGGCCGAUGUCAGAUUAGGUAGUUGGUGGGGUAAAGGCUCACCAAGCCGACGAUCUGUAGCUGGUCUGAGAGGACGACCAGCCACACUGGGACUGAGACACGGGCAAGACUCCUACGGGAGGCAGCAGUGGGGAAUUUUGGACAAUGGGCGCAAGCCUGAUCCAGCCAUUCCGCGUGCAGGAUGAAGGCCUUCGGGUUGUAAACUGCUUUUGUACGGAACGAAACGGUGAGCUCUAAUACAGUUUGCUAAUGACGGUACCGUAAGAAUAAGCACCGGCUAACUACGUGCCAGCCGCCGCGGUAAUAC